AAAUUGAAGAGUUUGAUCAUGGCUCAGAUUGAACGCUGGCGGCAGGCCUAACACAUGCAAGUCGAACGGUAACAGGAAGCAGCUUGCUGCUUCGCUGAUGAGUGGCGGACGGGUGAGUAAUGUCUGGGAAACUGCCUGAUGGAGGGGGAUAACUACUGGAAACGGUAGCUAAUACCGCAUAACGUCGCAAGACCAAAGAGGGGGACCUUCGGGCCUCUUGCCAUCGGAUGUGCCCAGAUGGGAUUAGCUAGUAGGUGGGGUAACGGCUCACCUAGGCGACGAUCCCUAGCUGGUCUGAGAGGAUGACCAG
rnacentral:rRNA from 1 species